GACGUAGGGGGCAAGCGUUGUCCGGAAUCAUUGGGCGUAAAGCGCUCGUAGGUGGAUCGGUAAGUCUGCAAAGAAAGACCCGGGCUCAACUCGGGGAACGGUGUGGAUACUACCGAUCUUGAGGCAAUCAGAGGAUGAUGGAAUUCCCGGUGUAGCGGUGAAAUGCGUAGAUAUCAGGAAGAACACCCGUGGCUAAGGCGGCUCUCUAGUACGGUACUGACGCUGAGACGCGAAAGCGUGGGUAGCAAACAGG
rnacentral:rRNA from 1 species